UCGGGAAUUUUGGGCAAUGGGCGAAAGCCUGACCCAGCAACGCCGCGUGAAGGAUGAAGUAUUUCGGUAUGUAAACUUCGAAAGAAUAGGAAGAAUAAAUGACGGUACUAUUUAUAAGGUCCGGCUAACUACGUGCCAGCAGCCGCGGUAAUACGUAGGGACCAAGCGUUGUUCGGAUUUACUGGGCGUAAAGGGCGCGUAGGCGGCAAUUCAAGUCAUCUGUGAAAUCUCCGGGCUUAACUCGGAACGGUCAGAUGAUACUGCUUUGCUAGAGUGCAGAAGGGGCAAUCGGAAUUCUUGGUGUAGCGGUGAAAUGCGUAGAUAUCAAGAGGAACACCUGAGGUGAAGACGGGUUGCUGGGCUGACACUGACGCUGAGGCGCGAAAGCCAGGUGAGCAAACGGGAUUAGAUACCCAGGUAGUCCCUGAGCGGGCUGGCAAGGCGCAU
rnacentral:rRNA from 1 species